GACGAACGCUGGCGGCGUGCUUAACACAUGCAAGUCGAACGGUGAAGCGCUUGCCUUUUUGGUGGGUGUGGAUGAGUGGCGAACGGGUGAGUAACACGUGAGUAACCUGCCCUCUUCUUCUGGAUAACCUCAUGAAAGUGGGGCUAAUACGGGGUAUUCCGGGUCUGUCGCAUGGCGGGUUUGGGAAAGAUUGCGCCUUUGGGUGUUUUCGGUGGGGGAUGGGCUCGCGGCCUAUCAGCUUGUUGGUGGGGUGAUGGCCUACCAAGGCGGUGACGGGUAGCCGGCCUGAGAGGGUGGACGGCCACACUGGGACUGAGACACGGCCCAGACUCCGGCGGGAGGCAGCAGUGGGGAAUAUUGCACAAUGGGCGCAAGCCUGAUGCAGCGACGCCGCGUGAGGGAUGGAGGCCUUCGGGUUGUGAACCUCUUUCGCAAGUGAAGCAGGCCUGCUCCUGUGUGGGUGGGUUGACGGUAGCUGGAUAAGAAGAGCCGGCUAACUACGUG
rnacentral:rRNA from 1 species